rnacentral:rRNA from 1 species
ACAUGCAAGUCGACGAAGCCUUCGGGCUUAGUGGCGCACGGGUGCGUAACGCGUGGGAAUCUGCCCUUGGGUUCGGAAUAACAGUUAGAAAUGACUGCUAAUACCGAAUGAUGUCUUCGGACCAAAGAUUUAUCGCCCAAGGAUGAGCCCGCGUCGGAUUAGCUAGUUGGUGAGGUAAAGGCUCACCAAGGCGACGAUCCGUAGCUGGUCUGAGAGGAUGAUCAGCCACACUGGGACUGAGACACGGCCCAGACUCCUACGGGAGGCAGCAGUGGGGAAUAUUGGACAAUGGGCGAAAGCCUGAUCCAGCAAUGCCGCGUGAGUGAUGAAGGCCUUAGGGUUGUAAAGCUCUUUUACCCGGGAUGAUAAUGACAGUACCGGGAGAAUAAGCCCCGGCUAACUCCGUG